rnacentral:misc_RNA from 1 species
ACUGACAAUCCUUUAAAAUCUACACUCUAGAUUUCAAAGGAUUGUCAGUAUAUGAUCUACUAAAUACACUUCACUUUGUUCUUAAUUAGCUAUAACUAAAAGAACACUAAUGAAUUAUACAAAUUGGACAUCAAUCAAGUAGCUACAAUAUAUACAGAUUACAUUUUUACAAUGAAACUCUACAUAGGGAAGCCAUAGUUUUGAUACCCCAUUGAACCUCCUUGGUUUGGCAUAUGGCUUGCUAGGGGCAUAUCAUGAAAAACAGAGGGUUGGUGAAUUGGAGCAAUUGGAGCACUUGGAGGAGGGAUCCAAUUUUGAUUGACAGGCACAACACUCGAGUUGUUAUCGAUGGUGGUGAUAUCAUGGAUGCUUGACCUUUUUCUCUCUUUCUUCACAGAAUUUUGCCGUAGGAAGUACUUUUGGGCAUGACUAGCCACUUGCGUUGGUGUUCUUGUCACCACAACAUUCCUGGAAAUGCUUCUCCAAUCACCCUUGCCAAAUCUUUUUAGUCCAAUUAAAAAUUUCCUGUGUUCUUCUUCCGUCCACGGUGUUCCUUUCUU